UAGCGUAGGGGGCAAGCGUUGUCCGGAAUCAUUGGGCGUAAAGCGCGUGUAGGCGGCCCGGUAAGUCCGCUGUGAAAGUCGGGGGGCUCAACCCUCGAAUGCCGGUGGAUACUGUCGGGCUAGAGUGCGGGAGAGGCGAGUGGAAUUCCUGGUGUAGCGGUGAAAUGCGCAGAUAUCAGGAGGAACACCAAUUGCGAAGGCAGCUCGCUGGAACGUAACUGACGCUGAGACGCGAAAGCGUGGGGAGCAAACAGG
rnacentral:rRNA from 1 species